UGUCGCCUCCUCUGAUCUGCUCCCUCUGGAGAUGGGGAAAUCCAGAGUAGGGGCAACAGGAAGUAUAUUCCCAAGAAGACUGUAGACCCCCGCACAGGGAAACGAUGGAGCUCAGGAGGGGCGCUGAUCUCGGGAGCCUGGAUCCACCAGUUAUGCAAGUGAUGAAGGUACUCAAGAAAAAGCAUGAUGUGGUGGGGAAGGGCUGCAGCCCAGCCCUGUGCCUGCAUCCCACGCAUUUCUACUUGAUU
rnacentral:lncRNA from 1 species